rnacentral:misc_RNA from 1 species
CAGAGUUGCAAAACUCCCAACCAUUGUGAACCUACCUCACCGUUGCUUCGGCGGGUGGCCCGCUAACCCGGUGCCGCGCUGGCUCCCCCCUUCGGGGGGCCCGGCAACCUGUCAGAAGACCGAAACUCUUAGUUAUCUUGGCCUCUCUGAGUAACUUAUACAAUAAGUCA